rnacentral:lncRNA from 1 species
UCUUUUUUUCGUUCUCUGCCGUUUCUUCUCCCUUUUUUUUCAAUUGUCUUUCCUUCUUUUUCUUUUUUACGAUUAUGUUGUCUCCUCACUCUCUCUCUCUCUCUUUUAUAACAGAAGUCUCUUUUUCUUUAUAUAGAUGAGUAUGAGUAGUUUUAUAACUUCUAAGAAAGUGGAGAAGUGGGGAUUGGGAAGUUAGGAACGUGAGAGUUAGU